UGGCUUUCUUUCCCAUUAGUUGACUCAUUUUCUUCAUUGCAUUUUUGGUCUUUGCCAACUGGUUUGCUUUUGCAGUGACUGGUACUUGUUCCUUUCCGUGCUUAGUGUUUCUUUCAGGAGCUCAAUGACAAAUCUUUAAUUCCAUCCUUAAAGGAUAAUUGAUCGUGGGCAUCUACUGUAUUUUAUAACCUUUGUAAUACAAGUAAUGUAAUUUUUAGUGCUGAAACCAUACUUUAAAGAAAAUAAUAACAGUGAUUAAUAGAACUUACUUAGGCCCCUGAAUUAAUAGGACUGUUGAAAUUGUGGUCAGCUUUUAAGAUACAGAAGAAAAGUUUUUUUCUUUGGGGAUAAGUUAUUUUAACUUGAGACAUUUUAAAUGAUGAGAAAACAUCUAGCUUUCUUUCUUAACAGUGAUUACAAUUUAAAGAGGAAGGUAAAUACUGAAUUAGCUUUAUACUUACUUUAAAUUGUAAAAUAACUUACCAUCUAUUUAACUUAAAAGUAAGCCACUUAUAUUAUUCAGUUAACAAACUGUCAUUCUUUUAUGAAAAUAAUUUUUAUAGUAAAAAUGCAAAUGCAAGCUUAUUAUGUUAGUUAUAUUUAUUCCUUUUAGUAAUAUGAUUCUACCAAAUUUGACUAAAAUGUGUUCUAACUAUCCCUGUGUUACUCAGAGAUAUGAGAAUUAAUUAACCAAACAAUUUGAACAAAAAUUAAGGUAAUAGCCAUUUAGAAUGCUUCUUGCUAGAAUGAAGUUCUGAUUUGUGAAGAAUAUUAAUUUAUCAGGUAGGGAAGAUAUAUGAAGGCAGAAAAAUUAUUAAAUUGUGACUUACUAAAUGUCUACUUAAAACAGAAAUUUAUAGUAAAUUUAUAAUGUUAUAUUGAGUUGAUUUGAAUUAUUUGAAUCUUAUAGUGUGACAGUUUUUUUUCUAAAGUAUAUAUUAUUAAAAGCUGAGAAAUAUUUAAGUGGUUGAAAGUCAGUGAGAAAUGUGAAGGAAACUGCUAAUGCUACUGGGGAGACAAUAGAACUAUGUUUAUUUAAUAUUAAGCAUUAAACUUCUGAAGAUUUUACUGGAAAUUUGAUUGAUUUUUCUGUUACCCAGGGGUAUUUUAAGCCCAUUUUAUGCAUCAUACCUGGGCUGUACCAAGAGCAGAUGGAAAAUUCCCAAGGGAACUUUUCUGUUUAUUUGUCAAUAUCUAAUUGAUUAGUGUAUAAUUUUAAGAUUAUAAUUCAAGAGGUGAAAUGGCUGCUGAUUGGAACUACUAUUAAGAAUUUGCUCAUCAACAUAUAAUUUCUUUUUUUUGGAUAAUCAAAAUAUGUACUUUACCUUAUAUAGACUAAAGGUUCUGAAAACAUAGGAGAUAAUUUCUUUUAAAGCUGCACUCAGAAUUUUUUUCCUGUGAUACUCACAUGAAAGUAGUAGUUUCUCUUUUCAUUUCAUUUGAUUGAAAUUGAAUUGUGGUAGUUUUUGACAAAUAAAUUAAAAUUUUUACUUUUUUUUUUUUAAACCAUGGAGAGAACAUCAGUAUUUUCAAGAAAUUAGAGGUUUGAAUUUGAAAUAUUUUUCAUAUAUGAAGCAAUCCAUCAAUCUUUGUUUAUGGAAUCUUCAGAACAUCAGAGUUGCGUGUUUUCAAGUUAGAGAAAAAUGGAUACACUGAAUCCUAGCAACUGAAAGCAAAUAGGCGUACGUCAGUAUCUGUGUAUAGUGCUGACACUUAUGUCAGCACUUUGUCCUUUUCGCUUGGGAGCUCUUGUUUAGUAGUGUGUUUACAAUGAGGUCUUUCAGUGGAGCAGGGCUACAUGACUGAAUGUGUGCCCUGUAUUGUCUGAGUACAUUCUAUUUACAAACUUUAAGAUAUGUGUAUAGACAUCUGUUAUUGACAUUUAGUCUGUGUUUAUUUCUCGAAAGUGUUUUAUUUGUUCAUUUUUGAUAACUAGCACUUGUCCAUUCACUUUUUAUUUCUAAUUUCCGUGUCUUUGUGUAGGUCACUGAGUGUGAUUCCAGAUUGAAGGUUUGUGGCAACCCUGUGUUGAGAAAGUCUGUUGGCACCAUUUUUCCUACAACAUAUGCUCACUUUGCAUCUUCGUGUCACAUUUUGAUACCUCCAAAUUGUGGACUGAAGCAUCUGUGUUUUUCCAACUUGGAGAUAAAAUAAUUGUUUUAAAUUGAGGCAUAUAUGUAUACUGUAAGGUAUAUUAGUCUUAGGUAUACUACUCAGUGAAUAUUUUCAUAGAUAUAUACCUAUAUAAUCACCAUGCAGAUGCAAGUAUACCAUAUUCCCAACCCACCAGAAGAAAUCUUUAUUCACCCUUUGAGUCAUUACUGCCUUCUAUAGGUAACCACUGUUCUGACUUCUUUUUCCAUCAAUUUAUUUUCUCUUGUUUUGACUUGUAUAUUUCUGAUUUCUAUUUUAAAAAUUCAAAAAAGACCAAAUUUAUUUAUUUAUUUAUUUAUUUAUGGUUUGUUAUCUUUUUUAUCUGGCUUCAUUUUCAGAAAACAACUCCCACAAGAUUCACCCACAUUAUUACAUUAUCGCCAGUUUGUUGUGUUUCAGGUCUGUGUAAUGUUCAGUAGUUUAAAUGGACCACACUUUUUUUAUUCAUUCUCUAGUUUAUGGACAUUUGGAUUAUUUUUAUUUUAGGGGAGUACUUAUGAAUAAAGCUUGUGUGAACAUUUUUAUACAUCAUUUUGGUAGAUGUGUUAAUUUUGUUGGCUAUAUACAAGGAGUGGGUUUACUGAGUCAUAGGGUAGGUAUAUAUUUUUAAAAAAUAAUUAUUUUAUUUUACUUUUUUAAGUUCUGUGGUACAUAUGCAGGAUGUGCAGGUUUGUUAUGUAGUUAACAAGGUGCUGGGUUUAUAGCUGUGAGCCACCAUGCCUGGAAACUUUUCACUUUUAGAUAGGUGAUCUAGAAUUAAUUUUGUUUUUUUGUUCAUGGUAUACAAUUGGGAUUAAGGGUUUUUUUUUUUUUUU